AGUGAACGCUGGCGGUAGGCCUAACACAUGCAAGUCGAACGGCAGCACAGUAAGAGCUUGCUCUUACGGGUGGCGAGUGGCGGACGGGUGAGGAAUACAUCGGAAUCUACUUUUUCGUGGGGGAUAACGUAGGGAAACUUACGCUAAUACCGCAUACGACCUACGGGUGAAAGCAGGGGAUCUUCGGACCUUGCGCGAUUGAAUGAGCCGAUGUCGGAUUAGAUAGUUGGCGGGGUAAAGGCCCACCAAGGCGACGAUCCGUAGCUGGUCUGAGAGGAUGAUCAGCCACACUGGAACUGGGACACGGUCCAGACUCCUACGGGAGGCAGCAGUGGGGAAUAUUGGACAAUGGGCGCGAGCCUGAUCCAGCCAUACCGCGUGGGUGAAGAAGGCCUUCGGGUUGUAAAGCCCUUUUGUUGGGAAAGAAAAGCAGCAGGUUAAUACCCCGCUGUUCUGACGGUACCCAAAGAAUAAGCACCGGCUAACUUCGUG
rnacentral:rRNA from 1 species